rnacentral:rRNA from 1 species
UACGUAGGUGGCAAGCGUUGUCCGGAUUUAUUGGGUUUAAAGGGUGCGUAGGCGGCCCUGUAAGUCAGUGCUGAAAUACCCCGGCUUAACCGGGGGGGGUGGCAUUGAUACUGCAGGGCUUGAGUACAGAUGAGGUAGGCGGAAUUGACGGUGUAGCGGUGGAAUGCGUAGAGAUCCGGAAGAACACCGGUGGCGAAGGCGGCCUGCUGGGCAGUAGCUGACACUGAGGCGCGACAGCGUGGGGAGCAAACAGG